rnacentral:lncRNA from 1 species
CCGAACUUAAAGACAAAAUAAAUAUAGCGAUAUCAAACCUUUAUAAAGAUUUCAAAAGAACUGUUACUUCUAAUAUCGUGUUGCAUUCUAUAAGCUAUCAAGUUGCUUCAAAAAUACCUCAGAGCACUCAGAAGUUUUAGAGCACUGUGGAAGACCAUUUUGAUCAGCAGAAAGUUCACACCUUCUUUUUUACUAAUGUCGCUUAACUGACCAGAGAUGCAAUCAAACCAUGAAUCGCGUUGUUUUAAGCCAAAAUUCUAACCACUGUCUCGUAGCUGUUUUACAUCUUUUUCAGUUAUGUUAUUCAAAAAAAUUCAAGUUAAAGUCUCUACAACGUUUAUGCUUAAGCUGUGCGGUUGUUAAAGAGGUUUUUGAUACUAUUGAAUAUCCCCUUCCUUUUUUAUUGAA